GUCCCUGCAACGCAAUAGAUAGCGCGUUGGACUUCCAAUCCAAAGGUUCGAAUCCCACCUGGGAUA